UCAAUAUGUCUGUUAUAACAGACACUAAACACUGUGCACUGAUCCGAUAAUGCUAUUGUGCUCUGCAGUUUUCCAUUCAUUCAUUGGUGUUCUGAGAAGGCCAGCCUUAGUUUUGUUUAUAUUGUCAACAUGGUGUGUGCAGGUUCUUGGGCCAUUGUAAAAGUACAAACCGCAACCACCCACUAUAGAAUAAUGCAGUAUUAAUAUGUCGUCGAUGAUGGUACUAUAGGGGUGUAAGUGUGGAAAAUUAGUAGACUGAUAAUGGAAUAUUCAUGAACUUUCAAUACUGGUACCUUACGUACAGGAAAACAGAUUUAUGGCUUCUCUGAUCAUCCUCCUCCCUUCCUGAUAUUAAAGCAUCUCAAGUCCAUCCUCCAAGACCUGACUGGAGGUAGGCUUCUUCCAGAGUUCACCUUCAGUUUUUAAGUAUCCUGUGUAUCUGUUGGCUCGCUGGGGUCAAUCAGGAGCGAACACACUUUCUCAAUUGAGAAACUAUGCUUCUCAGCCAAUCAAAAUCAAGGAAAGUUGUCGGUUCUUGGGAGACGAAAUCUUUUAUUUGAUUCCUGAAUCAACUUGGAGUUCUUUUUGUGCGAAUAAUGCAU